rnacentral:tRNA from 1 species
UCCUCGGUAGCUCAGUGGGAGAGCAAACGGCUGUUAACCGUUCGGUCGCUGGUUCGAAUCCGGCCCGGGGAGCCA